rnacentral:piRNA from 1 species
AAGGGGUGGAUGCGGGACAGGUUGGAGGCUA